rnacentral:lncRNA from 1 species
CUUAGGACUAAAGGAUUCUCUAGUUGUCUGAUGUGUAUUGAAUUCUGUCAGACAUGACAAUGUGCAAUGGGGAAUUCUGAGAAAAGACGGAACUCAAAGUCAGCAAGAGAAGUAAUUCUGGAUUAUUCUAUGAAACAGGAAGACGCAGCUGCCACAGAAGAGUCUUCAGUGUCAUCCCUGAUGAUUCCCAGGAGCUGCCAUCAACAAGUUUCCUUCUGAACUGGAGGAGCGGAUCUAAGUCAUCAUUCUCUUACUCACUGACAAUGCUCCUGGACUCAUGGGACAG